CCUACGGGAGGCAGCAGUGGGGAAUAUUGCACAAUGGGGGAAACCCUGAUGCAGCGACGCCGCGUGAGUGAAGAAGUAAUUCGUUAUGUAAAGCUCUAUCAGCAGGGACGAAAAUGACGGUACCCGAGUAAGACGCCCCGGCUAACUCCGUUCCAGCUGCCGCGGUAACACGUGGGGGACAAGCGUUAUCCGGAUUUACUGGGUGUAAAGGGAGCGUAGACGGCAGGGCAAGUCUGGAGUGAAUGGCGGGGGCUCAACCCCCGGACUGCUCUGGAAACUGUACGGCGGGAGUGCAGGAGAGGUAAGUGGAAUUCCUGGUGUAGCGGUGAAAUGCGUAGAGAUUAGGAGGAACACCAGUGGCGAAGGCGGCUUACUGGACUGUAACUGACGUUGAGGCUCGAAAGCGUGGGGAGCAAACAGGAUUAGAUACCCUAGUAGUC
rnacentral:rRNA from 1 species